rnacentral:lncRNA from 1 species
CAAAAUAACUUUUCAAAUCAUGAUACAUCUUCGUAGCCCCAGGAUGAAUACUCAGGCCACUACGAUGUUCUUCCUCAAGAAUACUCUUCUUAAGUUCGGUAACAUCCGGAAUACACACCCGAUUACCAAAUUUCAAAAUACCAUUCUCAUCAACUCUGAAUUCACCACCUUGACCUUGAUUCACUAGAGUCAACUUAUCAACCAAAAGCACAUCGGAUUUCUGACCCUCCUCUAAUCUCAUCCAGAAUACCACUCGUUAACUUCAA